rnacentral:rRNA from 1 species
AUUACCGAGUUUACAACUCCCAAACCCAAUGUGAACGUUACCAAACUGUUGCCUCGGCGGGAUCUCUGCCCCGGGUGCGUCGCAGCCCCGGACCAAGGCGCCCGCCGGAGGACCAACCAAAACUCUUAUUGUAUACCCCCUCGCGGGUUUUUUUAUAAUCUGAGCCUUCUCGGCGCCUCUCGUAGGCGUUUCGAAAAUGAAUCAAAACUUUCAACAACGGAUCUCUUGGUUCUGGCAUCGAUGAAAACGCAGCGAAAUGCGAUAAGUAAUGKGAAUUGCAGAAUUCAGUGAAUCAUCGAAUCUUUGAACGCACAUUGCGCCCGCCAGUAUUCUGGGGGCAUGCCUGUCCGAGCGUCAUUUCAACCCUCAACCCCUCCGGGGGGUCGGGUUGGGGAUCGGCCCUCCCUUAGCGGGUGGCCGUCUCCGAAAUACAGUGGCGGUCUCGCCGCAGCCUCUCCUGCGCAGUAGUUUGCACACUCGCAUCGGGAGCGCGGCGCGUCCACAGCCGUUAAACACCCAACUUCUGAAAUGUUGACCUC